CUACGGGGGGCUCCAGUGGGGAAUAUUGCACAAUGGGCGCAAGCCUGAUGCAGCCAUGCCGCGUGUAUGAAGAAGGCCUUCGGGUUGUAAAGUACUUUCAGCGGGGAGGAAGGGAGUAAAGUUAAUACCUUUGCUCAUUGACGUUACCCGCAGAAGAAGCACCGGCUAACUCCGUGCCAGCAGCCGCGGUAAUACGGAGGGUGCAAGCGUUAAUCGGAAUUACUGGGCGUAAAGCGCACGCAGGCGGUUUGUUAAGUCAGAUGUGAAAUCCCCGGGCUCAACCUGGGAACUGCAUCUGAACGGGCAAGCUUGAGUCUCGUAGAGGGGGGUAGAAUUCCAGGUGUAGCGGUGAAAUGCGUAGAGAUCUGGAGGAAUACCGGUGGUGAAGGCGGCCCCCUGGACGAAGACUGACGCUCAGGUGCGAAAGCGUGGGGAGCAAACAGGAUUAGAUACCCCGGUAGUC
rnacentral:rRNA from 1 species